AAAUAUAAUUAUAUAGUAGUAUUCUAAUACACCAAAAUAGAAAUGUUAAAACACUACAUAUCAAAAAACGUUAAAAUAUAUUGAUUUUGUACAUUAGAUAUUUAUAAAAAAUUGUUACCCUCUUAAAAUGUGGGUUAAAAUAUAAUUUCAGUUAAAUUACAGUCGGGUUGGUCAUAUUUUAAUUGAUGAAACGAGGUAUUUAACGGUCUCUGAUAUCUACAUCACUUUUUGGAUGAAUGAAAUUAAACUUGUGAUGUUAAUUACAUAAAAUCAUUAAGUUGAGGGAUGUUAUCAUGCAUAACAUAUACUUCGUGUAGCUAGGUAUACAUUAGUAUACUUUGCAUGGUUAGCCAUGUGAUGGUCGAUACUUCAUGUAGUCAGCAAUCAUUUUUCCAAAACAAAUAGAAAAGUUGUUUCUAAUAUUUUGAAACUUUGUGUUUAGACAACUUUGUUAUUGUAGAAGAGUUAUGAUAUACUCCCUCCAAUCCAUUUAAUUAGAUGUUUUAGGAAAAAAAUUGUUUUACGAAGAUAUAUUUUUUAUGUUUUCUAUAAAGAAGUUGUAAAUUUCAAAAAAAAAAUAAUUGAUUUUAUUCAAUUAAUAUUGGUUAGAAAUUAUUAAAAAUAUAUAAUUACAGAAAUGAUACAUUUAUUAUAUUAAUUUAAUAUUUUUAAUAUGUGUAAAAAUACUAACAAAAUCUAUCUUUGAGGAGUGGAGGUAAGUAAGACGCUGUGCGUCAGCGUCCAAAUGACCGGAAAUAGACACAGAUUACGGCAAAACAACAAAAAGAUGAGAGAGAAAUCGACGCCGAAUUUCUGAAAAUAUAGACGCCGCGCCAGAUUUCCAAAAAUUAUUAACGCCAUUAAUUCCGGCGUCCGAAGUCGACGUAUAUCAACAACGUUAAAUGAUCACUGCGUUUAAAUCCAUCUAAUGUAUUUUUAGAUACACGUCUUAAAUAUUGGUCGCUGACUCGAGUUUCAGCGUCUUACAAACGAACAGAGCUGUAGUAUAAUUUUAUCUUAUUGAUUUUUUUUUCUGGCAACAAUUUUAUCUUACUGGCUAAUGUGUUUCUAAGUUAUGCUUUUUUUUUUUUGGUAAAAAUCUUAAGCUUUAGUACCAAGUUUCAAUUGUGAAGGAAAUUACAUAAAAAACUAGUAGUAGAGCACAUAAACAAAAUCUACUAAAACUUAAAAGAAGAAAUUUUUAUUGAUAAAACUUAACAAGAUAUGUUAGUUAUCAUCUCCCUAUUAGAUGUGCUCCUAACUCCUGUUAUUGACAAAACUUAACAAGAAAUGUAUUUUCUUAGCUCUUAUUUAGUGUAAUUCUAGCUUAUGUUGACUUUCAAAAAAUCAUUUAUUAAAUAUAUUUUUUUUUUUCAUUUCUUUCUUUUAAAUCCAUGAUUCACCAAUUCUCCCUUCUAUCAAGUUCUCAAUCAUAAAAAAACAAAACAAAGAUAUAGCAAACUAUCUUUUCCAAUUUACAAUAAUCCAUUGAUCCUUAAGCUACGCAUUGGAUAUGAAUUCCAUCAAUUGAAUUGAAUCUGUCGUAUAAACUUGCAUACACAUAAUUAAGUCUAAUAUAAGUAGGAAAUUCAACCAAAUUGAAUCCCUUAAUUGGAACAAGUCUUCAAAAGUGAGAAUUUUUCAAAUAAUUAGUCACAUAUAGAAAUGAAUCUUGGCUGGCUCAUUUGUUUGAGGCAACCCAUUAGCAAAUUAACUAGUAUACUAUAUUUUAAAUGUACACUAACUUGGUAUAAAAUCCAAUAAAAAUACAUAUAUCUAGUUUUCUUCAAUUCAAUUUAUCCUUAUUGGAAAGAAAAAAAGAUAUCAUGUAAAAAAUCUGGGACAAAAUUACACCGCAUUUAAUCACCAUUGGAAGAUAAAAUAACCAUUUCAACUCACAGCUAAAACCUUAUAUUAGCAUUUUAAUUAGUCAAAAUAUUAUCUAUAUAAACAGAUCGAAUGUAGAGAGCAAGUCGUAAUACUCAACUUCUUCUCGAGAUAUUAUCAUUUUUGAUUCUCUCCCUGGCUGUUUGAUAAUCCUCUGUUUUCAUUGUUUCUGUUAACAUAACACUAGUUUUCAGAAAGUCAAUCUCUAGUUAUAUAACUUUUCUAAUAACUCGAGAAACAGAGGAAUUUAAGAAAAGGAGUGAUUUUUCUUAAGAUCAUUAUUAUUGUUUCCAAAUAUAUAUUUCAAUUUGUUCGUGGAACACACUGAUUCAUUUCUUCCCCAAUUUUUUUUUUUGAAUGAUGUAAAAUUUUAUUCAUCAAAAAAGCCAUUUGUUACAUCAAGUGCAUCAAAUUUUAAUUUCAACUUAUUUCAGUUAUAGUUUUCAUCUUUGGUUGUUGUUGAGUGUAACAAAACAGUGCAACUGUUGUUUUCCUUAUCUGUCGUUUGAAAAAAUGGCGUCUUUGGAAAUGGUUUCGACAAAGAUGUUCGAAUGUGUCCCGAGUGAUCGUAGCAAGAAAGAAAAGGAUCUCAAAGUUUUAGCCAGAGAUCAAUCAGAUAAUUUUCGUGUCUUUCCUGUGGAUGAUUCUGGAAGUAAACAAGAUGGAAAUGAGGUUCUUGAAUGUUCUUCAAGAACCUCUGUUUCCGAAACAGAGGAAGCUCAACAGAUUAUUUAUUCUCCAGAGACCAAUUCAAAUGCGUUUUAUAAUCUAGUUGAAACAGAGAACCCGUCAAGAAAUGAGAUCAUCAUGGGAGCUUCUUCUCUGGUUCAGAUUUGGGAAGCUAGGUCGCGACCGUCUAGCCCGACUCGAAAUCAUUUCUUCAUUGAUAGCUUAUUUUUUGAGUCUCUCAAUGACGAGGCAAGAAACAACGGUGACGAAGUAGAUUGGUGUUUACAGUCAAACAUAUCAGAUUCUUGUGAGAAGGAGAAGGAGAGAGAAUCAAGAUGUUCACCUUCAUCGGUAAGGAUAAGAGGACGGCAAGCAUUUGAAGAUUUCUUGAUGAUGAUUCUACGUGAAAGGAAAAAGUAUCUCAAAUGGAUCGCUGGUCUCACCGCGGUUUCGAAGUUCUCACCUCGUGGAUGCGAGCGUCUUCAGGUACUUUUAUUUGAUCAAUAUAAUAGUGUUGAAUUACACUUGAUGAAUGCUAAAAACCGAUUGAGACAAAUACCAGUUCUAGGUUUAUUUAAUAAUUGUGUGAAUGAAUUUACAGCUUUAAAAUCCGUAUUUAUACUACGUACACCUUAACAAAGAUGGCAUUUUACUAGUGCAGUGGAGUUUAAGUGACUACUAGAAUCAAUAAAUAGAUUGCAGUUUUGAUGAGGUUUGGUUACUUUUAUUUACCAGUUUCUUUUUGUUGUUGUUGUUGUUGUUUAGUAUAUGCUUAGGAUCAGAUCUUUUGAAAGGUGCAUCGCUAUGCAAGAAAGACAUCUGUUUAAAUCAUCAAAACGGUCUUCAAGAGGGUCAGGUGUGAUGAAUAAUCUCAGGUGCUACAAGCUUAUUAGUAAUGUUAUUCAGCUUGUUUUUAUUGCAGUUUUUUGAAGAGCUUUGAACCAAUCUAUAUUUGAUUAAUCAGUUACAAUCACAAUGCAAUGAUAGGUACAAGAAAAAUAUCGGGCAGCCGAAAAUCGCCAAUGAAGCUGUAUUGAGUGAAGAUACAAGCAACAAGAAUGGGUUAAAGAAACAUGAAACUGAGAGGAAAUAUACAGAAGAAGGAGAAGGGUCAGGAGAGACUACAGAGAAAGGUAUUGUAAUGGGAAGUGUAGAAACAAACAAUACAUUGAGUAUCGCGGAGAAAGUGAACCUGUGGGACUCUAAGGAGAGAAGCAAUAUGGGGAAAGCUAAAAACGAGGGAAAAGCUGCAAGAAGCGGUAUUGAUGUGGAGGUCACAGAGGUAAUCGAUAUAGAGACUGAUGGAUAUAGACUCAAUCCUCAAGACGUUACAUCAAUGAUUAGUUUGGAGAAAAGGAAGGAAGAAGAAAACGCGAGCAGAGUAUCUAGAGAGAGGCAUACUGAUGAAAUGUUUUCAAAGGACGAUGGAGAAACGUCGAAAGACAAGAAGCUAGAAGCAUCAGAAACAUUGUGUCUAGUCCUUGAGUCACCAAGAUUCCUAAAUGGUUGGGUUAAACAUGACAUGGAAGGCGAAGAUGAAUAUGAAGAUUACAGUGGAGAGAGUGUGAACUAUGAUUGGGUUAGCCACAUAUCGCGACCACGGAGUUAUUGGGACGAUCUAAGGAAAGAGAGGGAGCUGGAGAUCAUAAAAAAGCUUUCAAAGAAAGAUGAUAUUUUUCAGAAAUUAAUCAAGGAGUAUUGUUAUAUGAUCAAUUCUUUUUUUUUUUCUUAACUCGUUUAAACUUUUUGAUUUUCUAAGCUUGUGAUUGAUUGUGCAGAAGGACAGUUUUUAGCUUCCUGACAAGCGAUUUUCGGAAAAAUAUUGAAAAAAUUCUGAUCUCACGGCCACAAAAAGGGUUAGAAGUAAAAGGCAAUCAUGUGGAUGGAGAAGCUAGUGAGGAGUGCUCAGCAGAAUACCAAGAAAAAGAAAAGGAAACAGAGAGUGUGGAUCUUGAAAGUGUAAUUGUAUGUGAUGGUUUCAGCCAAGACUCAGCGAUGAAAACGUGGAGCUUCGAAGAUCAUGAACCCUACCUUAAGGAUCAUGAGAAUACCUCCUCUGUGAGUUUUGCUCUUCUUUUCUUCUUCUUAGGUCAGUAUGGUUACGUGUUAGUGAAGUAACAGAUUUAUGUUUCACAUAGGAAACACAGAUGAUAUGUGGUCUCAUGGAAGAAGUUAAAAAGAUGCAAAGAGAAAUGCUCGAACUAAAAGGCUUUGUCAAAUCUUGCGUCGAUUUCCAGAAAUUCAAAUCAGCUUCAGGUGUGCAAGCCUUUACAAGUAUUCUUAAUUAGUUCAUAUAAAAACCCAUCAAGCCAUUGAAUGAUGUAACUGUAACUAUGAAUUAUCUCAAUCUCAGUUUCAGAUUCUGUACAAGGAAAUUGUUCUGUCUGCUUCGAGAAGCCUAUAGACUCGCUUCUAUAUAGGUGUGGACAUAUGUGCACGUGUCUGAAAUGUGGCCAUGAGCUUCUAUGGAGUACUAAGAAAUGUCCGAUAUGUAUGGCUCCAAUUAUAGAUGUUGUCAGAGCAUUUCUUGAUUCUUAGGGCUCAAAAAACAAAUGAUAUAGAAAAUAAAACUAAAACUUUACUCAGUAUUGUAAAUUAUCAAUAAGGUGAAACAAUCUGAUUAUAUAUACUAAGCAAAGUAUUUUUUGUUGUUGCUAUGUUAUUAACUUUUCAUGUGUAUAAUAAGACUGGUGCUCCAGUUGAUGAUUUACGUCAUUAAAAUUAAUGUGUUGGCUAAAACCGUUGCAGAAAAAAACAUGAAAAUGAGAAUUAAGGGACCCGUUUGUAACGACUAGAGAUGUAAAUUGGAUAGAGACAAAGUUUUUUUGAUUGCCCAACAUCGGUUGGACAUAUCUCUUGAAGAGUUUCUUUCAGAGUGACAGAAAGUAAAUUUAUGCAGCCUGGAAAUCUAGUAAUUAACACCCACAUUUAAGCAUAUAUAUGUUCAUAUAUGGCAAAAAUUUGUCAAAACUAAUGACAAUAUACAUAUACAAAAGUAUGUUUAAUUCACAGAUUAAAACAAUAAUAAAUCACAAUAGAAGCUUUUUGUUUUUGGAACUCUCACAAUAGAAGCUACAAGUUGUUUUUUUUUGCUAAAAUAAUAGUUAUAACCUAUCAUUUUUUAAAAAGCGAUUCUUAGCAUUAUUCAUAACCAGACCACAUGAGUGAAAAGUGUUUCUUCACAUCUUUCUACAAUAUAUAUUACUAUCAUGCAAGACUAUAUAUAUAUAUAUCAUUAUUAAUAUAUUGAAGAAAAAUAGCAUGGUAUACGUAUAUGGGUCCGUAUAUGGGCAACAAAAAAUUGUUUGGCCGAAGAAAUGAAU